rnacentral:tRNA from 2 species
GGUUGCUUCGUCCAGUGGUAGGAUACCUCUUUCGGGCAAUACCCAGUGUGGCAUCACACUUGCAAAAAGAGGCUCUAAAUAGAGGUGGUCGCGGGUUCGAAUCCCGUAGUAGCCC